GUGAAUCAUCGAAUCUUUGAACGCAAAUUGCACUCUCUUCGGAGAGUAUGCCUGUUUGAGGGUCAGCCUAAAAAAAAUCGACAUAGUCGCUGUUUCGCGGUGACAUUCGUCGGAAAUUGGGUCAUCUUAAACCUUUGGGUUUUAAGCGGCUUAAAAUUUUCUUUACGAUUCUACGAACGUUUCUAAGAUUUACUUACACGUUUAAGGUAUCGAUUUUUAUUAACCUUGGCCUUUGAACCGAUUCCCGCCAUUAAUUAUUU
rnacentral:misc_RNA from 1 species